rnacentral:rRNA from 1 species
UACGUAGGUGGCGAGCGUUGUCCGGAAUUACUGGGUGUAAAGGGAGCGCAGGCGGGGAAGCAAGUCAGCUGUGAAAUCUAUGGGCUUAACCCAUAACGUGCAGUUGAAACUGUUUUUCUUGAGUGGAGUAGAGGUAGGCGGAAUUCCGAGUGUAGCGGUGAAAUGCGUAGAGAUUCGGAGGAACACCAGUGGCGAAGGCGGCCUACUGGGCUCUAACUGACGCUGAGGCUCGAAAGUGUGGGGAGCAAACAGGAUUAGAUACCCCUGUAGUCCCU